rnacentral:lncRNA from 1 species
AGUGGAUUAAUUGUUGUAAUUUAAACAGUCUUAAUAAUGAAAUUGUGGUAUCUUAAAACGAUAAAUUGAGAGGAGUUAUAGCUGUAAUUUAUAGUGCUUGGGUGUCGUGGUUAAAAUGUAUAACUCUGGGAUUGAUAUUGAUGAUGUGUUGUUAAUGAAUAAAUCAAGUUUUAUUUUUCGAAUGACUUGUUAUUUUAGAAAUACAAAUUGAGUGUUGCUAAUGGUGAGUUUUCUUUAAACUCCUUUAUUAUUUCCAUGCUUGAAAUUCUUAUCAAUU